UAAUAUACUGAUGAUGCUCUAUAUGCAUGGG
rnacentral:piRNA from 1 species